rnacentral:rRNA from 1 species
AGUGAACGCUGGCGGUAGGCCUAACACAUGCAAGUCGAACGGCAGCACAGUAAGAGCUUGCUCUUACGGGUGGCGAGUGGCGGACGGGUGAGGAAUACAUCGGAAUCUACUUUUUCGGGGGGGAUAACGUAGGGAAACUUACGCUAAUACCGCAUACGACCUACGGGUGAAAGCAGGGGAUCUUCGGACCUUGCGCGAUUGAAUGAGCCGAUGUCGGAUUAGCUAGUUGGCGGGGUAAAGGCCCACCAAGGCGACGAUCCGUAGCUGGUCUGAGAGGAUGAUCAGCCGCACUGGAACUUGGACACGGUCCAGACUCCUACGGGAGGCAGCAGUGGGGAAUAUUGGACAAUGGGCGCAAGCCUGAUCCAGCCAUACCGCGUGGGUGAAGAAGGCCUUCGGGUUGUAAAGCCCUUUUGUUGGGAAAGAAAAGCAGCAGGUUAAUACCCCGCUGUUCUGACGGUACCCAAAGAAUAAGCACCGGCUAACUUCGUG